CCGUUGGAAAACUAAAGAAGGGAUUGUCCUGGACGAAUUUAGCGGCUAAUCAUCUAAGAAAUGAAGAUUUUUAUUCCCACAAGAUCUUGUAAUGAAUGAUCUUUUCCGAGAUUUGUGGAAAAAAUAUUUGUAUUCUGUUCAGCAUGUUCCGAUUUUGUAUAAAGACAAAAUAUAUCCGAGACAGGCGCGGAGAAAAAUAUUGAACAUUGCUUGGCUGAAAACAACCUGAACUCUUUAUGGAUGUGCACGUCGUGGCCAAGAUGAGUUGCCAGCCAUCCCAAUUCAUUUUGAUCCAUGUCAACGAGCUGCGACACAGU